UACAGAGGUCUCAAGCGUUGUUCGGAUUCAUUGGGCGUAAAGGGUGUGUAGGUGGCGCCGGUAAGUCGGGUGUGAAAUUCGACGAGCUUAACUCCGAAACUGCAUUCGAUACUGCCGGUGCUUGAGGACUGGAGAGGAGACUGGAAUUUAUGGUGUAGCAGGUGAAAUGCGUAGAGAUCAUAGGAAGACCAGUGGCGAAGGCGGCU
rnacentral:rRNA from 1 species